rnacentral:rRNA from 1 species
GAUGAACGCUGGCGGCGUGCCUAAUACAUGCAAGUCGAGCGAACAGACGAGGAGCUUGCUCCUCUGACGUUAGCGGCGGACGGGUGAGUAACACGUGGAUAACCUACCUAUAAGACUGGGAUAACUUCGGGAAACCGGAGCUAAUACCGGAUAAUAUAUUGAACCGCAUGGUUCAAUAGUGAAAGACGGUUUUGCUGUCACUUAUAGAUGGAUCCGCGCCGCAUUAGCUAGUUGGUAAGGUAACGGCUUACCAAGGCAACGAUGCGUAGCCGACCUGAGAGGGUGAUCGGCCACACUGGAACUGAGACACGGUCCAGACUCCUACGGGAGGCAGCAGUAGGGAAUCGUCCGCAAUGGGCGAAAGCUUGACGGAGCAACGCAGCGUGAGUGAUGAAGGUCUUCGGAUCGUAAAACUCUGUUAUUAGGGAAGAACAAAUGUGUAAGUAACUAUGCACGUCUUGACGGUACCUAAUCAGAAAGCCACGGCUAACUACGUG